rnacentral:rRNA from 1 species
UACGUAGGGUGCGAGCGUUAAUCGGAAUUACUGGGCGUAAAGCGUGCGCAGGCGGUUUUACAAGCCAGAUGUGAAAUCCCCGGGCUCAACCUGGGAACUGCCUUUGUGACUGCAUAGCUAGAAUACGGUAGAGGGGGAUGGAAUUCCGCGUGUAGCAGUGAAAUGCGUAGAGAUGCGGAGGAACACCGAUGGCGAAGGCAAUCCCCUGGACCUGUACUGACGCUCAUGCACGAAAGCGUGGGGAGCAAACAGG